rnacentral:lncRNA from 1 species
CUCUGUUCUUCUGUUCCAGCCACCUACAGCUCUGCUCUCUGAGAAGCCGCGCUGACUCGCUGGCUCCAGCUGUGAUGCUCAGCUGUCCGUCCAUCUUGUCUCCUGGAACAGCUCAACCCAGGGUCUUCCUGAAGUGGUGAUCACUCCAGCUGGCAGGGAUAGAAAAUGGUACCAGUCAGGCCAGAGCUCUGGGAUCCCACAGUCACUGCUGCAGGAUGGAGGAACCUACUCCCGAGCCCGUCUAUGUGGAUGUGGACAAGGGGUUGACCUUGGCUUGCUUCGUUUUCCUUUGCCUCUUCCUCGUAGUCAUGAUCAUCCGCUGUGCCAAAGUCAUCAUGGACCCCUACAGUGCCAUCCCCACGUCCACCUGGGAGGAGCAGCACCUGGAUGACUGAGGCACAUGACAGGUCUCAGUGUCCUGGACACACCUCUGUACACCCUGGCCAACAUCCUGCAAGCUCUUGGGAGACUGGGUGUGGCUAUAACCACUCAGAGAUGGAGAAGGCUCACCUUCGCCUUACUGACUCUCACAUAACCACCAGAGGGAAAUGCCAGCAUGCCUGAGCCAAGGCAGUCUGGGGAAGCCAGGGGAGAGGAAUGCUAAGCCAUGACUCAGGAUUGUGGAGGCCAUCCUGGGACUCCACUGGGAGACAGACAGCAGAGUGAUGGUCCCCAGCCCAGGCUCCAGGGCACCUUUGAGAUCUGGACCAAAACCAGAUAUUCUGGUCUGUAAACAGUGAUCAGGAGGAGACUGACCUUCAACUGCACAGCACUGAGGGGUUGCUGAGAGCCCAGUACCCUCUACAGACUAGCACUGAUGAGGCAGGAAAGAUGGAGACUUCAGGGGGCUUCUCCUGCAAAUUCUCACAAGGCACACGGCUACUUCCAAACUUUUUUUUUUUUUAAAAAACUAAGAUACAGAGGGAAUAUAUUUUUCCUGUUAAAAAUGAGAUGUGCAUUUUAGACACUUGGGAAAAUAUAGAUAAAUAGAAGGAAAGGGGGGUAAAUAGCACUUAAAAUCCAACCUCCCAGAAGCCAUCAUUUUGAUAUAUUUCUUCAAGUCUUUUUUACAGGAAUUUUUUUAGUAAUUCACACCAUAUGCAUGAUGCUGCAUUGAUUCGUCUGAUAGCUUAAAUAUCUUCUGCCUCACGAGAUACCAUGGCUGUUUUUAGUGACUGAGAGUAUACUGGCUAGGCCAUGGCUGAAUAUAGUCGUUUUCUUUAAUCUAGUUAACUUUCUACUAUGUACUCACAAGAAUCACUUCACCCAGUAACCUUCAGAAGCUCUGUAUCACAGGAGCUCCAGGCAAGAGCUGGGUUCUAGACCUGCUUCAGCUAUUCAAAGGCUGUAAAAGUCACCUCACUUCUUGGUGCCUCCAUUUCCUCAUUGAAAUAUGGGAAGGAGAAGUCUGUCUUUCUGUCUGUCUGUCUGCUGUCUGUGAAAGCAGCCAUGUCACAAGUGGGAGCUGAGACUAGCUUGUCUCUUCUGUUGUCUUUCCUUCAUCUUCUUCUCCCACACACUGUCCCGUGUGUCUGUGACCUUGCUGCAAGGCUCCUAGGUCACAGCCCACAACCUUCCACAACCUGCUUCAACUCCUGUGUCCUUAUUAUAUGACCCCUAAAUAAAUCAGCACCUGUGAGCUCCAAUUUUGUCAUCUAUAAAAUGGGGGUGUAACAUCUACCUCACAAGGUUGUCGUGGAGAUAAAAUGGGAGGACAUGAGCAAACCCUCCCUGCCUUCUAAGAGCCAGAGCUCCCAGCCAGUGCCACAUUCACAGUGGCCAGCAGACAUUUGCAGGGACACCAAGACACCAGGAUACCGGACACCAAGGCACAUGGUCUCAUGUCAUCACCACUAUUGCCAUUUAUUUUCACAUAUGUGAGGGGUACCUAUUGUGUCCUUCCAGGGUAGGACCUGCUGCCCUGUCAAAGGAGACCUGUGCUGUGGGCCUUGGGCCUUCUGCACCACCCACACUCAAGCCCUAGGUCCCCAUGCACCUUAGGCUACCUGGGAAAUGACUUUCCAAAGCACUAUCACACUACAUGACCCCUGAAAGUAUACACUCUUAUCAAGGUUUGUUUUCCAGGGUAUGGUGUGUGCGUGUGUUUGUGUGUGUGUGUGUGUGUGUGUGUGUGUCUGUCUGUCUGUCUCUGUAUCUCUGUCUGUCUUUCUCUCUCUCUUUCUCUCUCUUUGACUCUGUCUCUGUCUCUCUCUCGCUCUCUCUGUCUCUCUCUCUCUUACACACACACACACACACACACACACACACACACACACACUGUCAGAUGCACCAAGAAACAGAUGGCAUAGGCUCCAAACCUGGCACUGAGGCAUCACUUUCAGCCCACCCUUCCUCAGAAACCUCCCUCAGAGACAGCAUGCUCUUCUGUGGAAACCUGUUAGGAUGGGUUUGCAAAAUCAAUGGGGGUUGGGGGAAGAGGUUGUUCCCAGCUGUUAAUGACAGAACAGCAGGAAGAAGGAGAGAUCUAAAGAGCUCUGAAGACCUCCUGUAGAGGCCUUUUGGAGCUCUAUGGGGGAAAAUCAGGAUGCCCUAGGCUGUGUUCCUCAGACUGCCUGCUGAAGGUCACACCACACCUGCACAUGAGGAACCUGCCAGAAGCAGCUCACCUCCUCCACAGACCUACAGAAUCACACUGGGCAUCCAGGGCCAGUUAGCCCGGUUAGCCAGGCCCCUGGACAGCAGUACAUCCCUGUUUGAGAAAACCUCCCCAGGACCUCUGUUCUCAGCAACACCCCAAAACCUUUAGUAUUUUCUUUAUGCUGGGGAAAUAACAUUUGAGAAAAGAGGUGAUUUCAAUCCCCUUUCCCAAGAGUCAAGCUUCUAACAAGGCAACAAAACAACGCUUUCUAUUUGUACCUACACCCUCCCUUCUCAUUUGCAUCCUCUUACAAGCCCUACUUGUCCAUAAGUACCAUUGCUUGUGUACCUUCAGGCGCUCAUUCAACUAGAAUCACUUCCCAGGCAGCUUUCACACUGUUGCCCCUUGUUUGUAUCAGUGUGUGUGUGUGUGUGUGUGUGUGUGUGUGUGUGUGUGAGAGAGAGAGAGAGAGAGAGAGAGAGAGAGAGAGAGAGAGAGAGAGAGAGAUGUGUCCUGGUGUAUUCAUGUGAGCAUGUGCUUGCCACAGUGCAUGUUUGGAGAUCAGAUGACAAUCUUGGGUGUUGGUCCUCUCCUUCCUUGUUGCUCACUGGUGACAUUACUCCCCAGGCUAGCUGGCUCACAAGCUCCCAGGAAUUCUCCUCUCUCUGGCUGCCAUCUCCCACAGGCCCACUGGAAUCCCGGAGGUGCCCUUCUGCACCCACUCACUUUCACAUAAGUUCUGGGAAUAGAAGCUCAGGCCCUCACACUUGCACAGCAAGCAUUUGCCUACUGAGAUGAUUUCCCAGACCCACCCCUUUUAUCAUUUUUAAGGUGUGUGUUUUUCUUGUUUUUAUGGUUUUUUUUUUAACAAAAGGAUUCCCUCAUACAUGCGCAUGACACUGCAGACCACUAUACCAAAUACUUCUUAUGCUGUUUUAAAUUUUCCCAUUAUAUAUGGGAAGAAAGUGGCUGUGCUGAUCCUGGGGGUUUCUCAGGAGAGGAGAGAAGGCAGAUUGAUAGAACAUCCCUUCUCAGAGACACACAAGAAGGAAAGGGGUGUCCCCACGUCUGCCACUUGAUUAUGUGGAACAAAGAAGAAAGGGGGUCCCCACCUCUGUCACUGGAUCAUGUGAAGGUGAGAAAGGUGAAAGAAUCCCAAGUUUUUCUUCUCUUGUGCUUUCCAUUCUGAAGGAUGGAGGACGGACAUGGUCCUUUGCCACCAGAGUGGCCUCAAGUUUCUGCUAAUUGAAAGAAAGCCUGCAGUUGUGAAUAGAGAAGGAAACACCGCAGCAAAAUACUCAUGCUGAAGGCUGGAAGUUGGCAUAGAGGAAAUGAAGAGAAAAGGAUAGUUAUAGAGUCAUCCACAAGUCAGGGAAGAAGGCACACUCUCUAUGGCAGAGAGUAGGUCACAGUCUCCAGAGAAAGGCAUCUAGUGGCUGGAAUCAAGCUGCUGCCGGUGAUGAGCUGUGUGGAAGUCCCUCCGUGUUACCUCCAGCUUUCAGCAAGGCAGAUGUGUAGUCCUUCUGUGGCUUUGUAAUUUGCAGUGAGGGCAUCUGUGUGAUGACCACAGAAAGGGCCCAGCUGCCCCAGAGACAAGUGGGUAAUAAAAAUAUUCAGAAUCAGGAAAGGCAACUCAUAUCCAUCAUAAGGAAAGUGGUCCCUGGGCGUGAUCAGGGUCUGAUUGACACAAGUGGUAGGACCCAUCGGCCCCAGUGUGGCAUUAUCAAUGACUAUCACAGACACUUUACUUUUCCAAUUAAUUUUCAAAUGUCCACGUGCUUUGUUUUAUUUUGGUGGAGUGAUUUUGUUUUGGGGUAUGGAACUCAUGGCCAUGUACAUAUGAGGCCAGGGCUCUGUCAUUGAUGUUUGUCCCUAACCCCAUAUAUCUUGCUGGAAUGAAAACAAAUGUCUCUCCAUCCAAUAAAGUUUUCCCAGGAUUCCAAAGAUUUCUAAAAGAGGUCCAUUUUACUUUCAAGCACCACGUGGAAAUAAUUGCAAAGCCUAGUUUUCACAAAUGUGGGUGCCUGUCCCAUGGCCUUGCUGUUGAGGACUGGUCCUGCCAUGUAGGGUGGAUAAUAUUCAUAAUAGUCUAUAGCUGAUGGCCCCGGCUGUUAAAAAGUGCCCACACUGAGUUCUUCACAUAAGCUCUUGCACAGAUAUGGGCUCUUUGUAUCCAGAAGAAAGACAACCUCCAUCACACCCACUUCUGCUGACCUGUGCUGAUACCAUACAUCCUUGACAUCCACUAAGACCUUCCCUCCUUUCCCCUAAGGAAGGCUGUCUGUACCUGUCAAUGACUGGCAGGAAAGAGAGGGCAAUGACCCUUUGCCUCCUUUCUAAGUCUCCCACUGACCAAAAAUAAUAGAUAAUAAAUGGCGGGACUGCUGAGUAAUAAGGUCUAUGUAUGUCAGCUCGCCAGAGCAACUGAAAAAUGAGCAGCAUAGCCCACCCCCAAGUGACACCCAGUAUUCAUCAUGAACUCCCAGCAUCCAUCACAAACCCUGCUAAGAUGGGAAAGCAAACAAGGAUGUUAAGGAAACAGUCCUGUGGACACCAUAUUGUCCUAGAUAAUAACAAUGUUUUCCCAUUCCCAGCCAGACCUUACACUAGAAUGUAGCCAGCAUAAGGCAGAGAGGCUAGCACAGCUUCCUCUGUAGUGGUCACAAGGCCUGGUGUGGACAGCAGUCUUUUUUUUUUUCCAGUGAUUAUUGAAGUUUAUUCAGUAUUUUUUUCAUUAAUUUAUUUAUUUACUGUACAGAUCCCUGCCCUCCUCUUCUCCCAGUUCCACCCUCCCAUCCAUCCCCCAUCUCCUUUUCCUCAGAGAAAGGGAGCCAGCCCCCCAUACCGCCCCACCCUUGUAACCACCAACCAAAGAGCAUGCAGGGGCUAGGCCUAGGUCCCCUACACAGAUGGAGCAGAUGCGUCCCUUGAUCUUCAUGUGGGCCUCCUAACAAUUAGAACAGGACUGGUGGACAGCAGUCUUAGUCUUUUCCCUGCUACCCCACAUUCUCUGAAUAUCCUCAGCUGUGGGGGCAUUUUACCUCACCCAGAGGAGACAAGUUCCUGUUCUGUUUUUAUUGAGUUAACACUUGUCCAAAGAAUUUAGGAAGAAGCCUUGCAGAUCUGGCUGGAAGCACUUUAGAACUCCCAGGAGAGGACAGCAGGAGCUCGUGGAACUGUAGUCCCAAGUCAAAGAGCAUCAGACUCUCUAUAGAGCUAAUUAGGAAUUUGAACCCUUAGAUUUCCAGAGUGGGGACACAGGGUACCAGAUAUACCAAAUGUCCCAGUGAGCCCUGGGGCUCCAUAGUGGGUCUCCUUUGCCCCUGUGGGGGAGCAGUAAUUCCAUAGUUUUGGGGGUAUGGGGGAAAUUGCCUGACAAUGCAGCAGUCUCUCUUUCUGCACACUGGUUCACCCAAUAAGACCCAAACAGCACAAAGCCAUCUUCCUAUGUAUUAGACUCCCACCAUGCUGCUAGAAGAAGCAUUCAUCCUGAUUCCCAAUCCGGAACAUUUAUAACAGUUAUAACAAUGUAACAGUUAUAAGGCUGGGUCACUCGACUCAAUGAGUCAGACAUGCUCAUAGAGCCAUGGUAGAAACAACAUAGGGUUCAUCACAACUUAAAGACAUGCUGUAUGACCUCACAUUAGGGGUGUAUCUAAAGGAAAUACAAUCAGCAUUUCAAAGGACUCCACUCCCAUGUUGAUCACCACACACUCUAGCCAAAAGCUGGAAUAUUUAUAAAUAUUCAUUAAUGAAGGAGUCAAUGAAGAAAAUGUGGUACCACAGCACAGUGAAAUCUGAUUCAUCUAUAGAAAGUAUAAAAUCUUGUCAUUGGGACAUGGAUGGAAUUGAAGGUCAUUUCGUGAAAUGAGUCAAGCACAGAAAAACAAGUGCCCGUGGUGUCACAUCCUGAAUUUUAAAAAGGUUGCUUUCCCAGAAGCUGAGAGGAGAAUGGUGGUUACCAGAGACUCUGAGGAAGCUGGGAGGAGGAAGCCUGGUCACUGAAUCCUAUGUUACAGCUAAAGAAAUAAAUUCUGUUGUGUUCCUGUGAUGCGGAUUCAAAGGCGCUAGGAGAAAAGAUUCGGAUUGCUUGCACCACAAAGAAGUAUGUUUGAGGUGACAUACAGGGUUGCCUGGAGCUGGUUCUGAACGAUAUACACACAUAUUGAAACAGCACAUGCUAUAAAUAUGUACAAUUUGUGAAUCAAUUUUAAAAAAUAAAUAAAAUAGAAAAGGGGCAGAUACUGGUUUUUUGUUUGCUUGUUUUUGGUUUUGUUUUUGUUUUUUGUAGAUCAGUCACUGCAGCGAAGCCUUUCAAAGUCCAUUCUACAUUACAGUUGUGUCAGUUGUUUCUGGGGAGCAAGGCAGAUGGAUAAAUGUCCUCUGGGAGGGAGACUGUAGCUGCCGCAUGCCCUCCCUACAAGUUGCUGGCCGUAGAAGUGACUAGGGCACGAUAACUC